rnacentral:antisense_RNA from 1 species
CUAAAGGCUGGCUGGCUUGCGAUGGCGGUGGGUCAGUCAGCACAUUCCUUGCUGAUGGACCGCUAUCGCAGGCAAGCCAGCUCCCAC